UUAUUUUAGCGGCGGACGGGUGAGUAACGUGUGGGCAACCUACCUUUUUACUGUGGAAUAAUCGUUGGAAACGACGACUAAUACCGCAUACGGUUCUUGGAAGGCAUCUUCUAAGAAAGAAAGGAGUAAUUCGGUAAAAGAUGGGCCCGCAUCUGAUUAGCUAGUUGGUGAGAUAAUAGCCCACCAAGGCAACGAUCAGUAGCCGACCUGAGAGGGUGACCGGCCACAUUGGGACUGAGACACGGCCCAAACUCCUACGGAAGGCAGCAG
rnacentral:rRNA from 1 species